rnacentral:rRNA from 1 species
UACAGAGGUGGCAAGCGUUGUUCGGAAUUACUGGGCGUAAAGGGCGCGUAGGCGGUCCUGUAAGUCUUGUGUGAAAUCCCUCGGCUUAACUGAGGAACUGCACGAGAUACUGCGAGACUUGAGUUCGGGAGAGGAAAGCGGAAUUCCGGGUGUAGCGGUGAAAUGCGUAGAUAUCCGGAGGAACACCGGUGGCGAAGGCGGCUUUACUGGACCGACACUGACGCUGAGGCGCGAAAGCUAGGGGAGCAACGGG